AGCAUGUGGUUUAAUUCGACGCAACGCGAAGAACCUUACCUGAGCUUGACAUGCACGGGACCGCCCUGGAAUCAGGGUUUCUCUUCGGAGUCCGUGUGCAGGUGCUGCAUGGCUGUCGUCAGCUCGUGUCGUGAGAUGUUGGGUUAAGUCCCGCAACGAGCGCAACCCUUACCUUUAGUUGCCAGCGGGUUAUGCCGGGAACUCUAGAGGGACUGCCGGUGACAAACCGGAGGAAGGUGGGGAUGACGUCAAGUCCUCAUGGCCUUUAUGCUCAGGGCUACACACGUGCUACAAUGGCCGGUACAAAGAGUCGCAAGACCGCGAGGUGGAGCUAAUCUCAUAAAACCGGUCUCAGUUCGGAUUGGAGUCUGCAACUCGACUCCAUGAAGUUGGAAUCGCUAGUAAUCGUGGAUCAGCAUGCCACGGUGAAUACGUUCCCGGGCCUUGUACACACCGCCCGUCACACCACGAAAGCCGACUGUAUCAGAAGUCAUAAUGCUAACCCUCGGGAGGCUAGUGCCUAAGGUAUGGUUGGUGAUCAGGGUGAAGUCGUAACAAGGUAGCC
rnacentral:rRNA from 1 species